rnacentral:rRNA from 1 species
GCAGUCGCCGCGGGAAUACGUAGGGUGCGAGCGUUAAUCGGAAUUACUGGGCGUAAAGCGUGCGCAGGCGGUUUUGUAAGACAGGCGUGAAAUCCCCGGGCUCAACCUGGGAAUGGCGCUUGUGACUGCAAAGCUAGAGUGCGGCAGAGGGGGAUGGAAUUCCGCGUGUAGCAGUGAAAUGCGUAGAUAUGCGGAGGAACACCGAUGGCGAAGGCAAUCCCCUGGGCCUGCACUGACGCUCAUGCACGAAAGCGUGGGGAGCAAACAGGAUUAGAGACCCCUGUAGUCCCUGUCUCUUAUAA